CGGGGUGUAGCUCAGCUGGUAGAGCGCUUGGUUCGGGACCAAGAGGCCGUGUGUUCAAGUCACAUCACUCCGACCA
rnacentral:tRNA from 1 species